UGCAGAGUAGAAACCACGGCGUUAAGUGCCUCCUGAACAGGGAGUUGUCAGUGGGACGAAGAGGGGAUCCUCGCGGUCAUGGUUUCGCAUCCCGCUGCU
rnacentral:ncRNA from 19 species